UACAGAGGGUGCGAGCGUUAAUCGGAAUUACUGGGCGUAAAGCGUGCGUAGACGGUUAUUUAAGUCGGGUGUGAAAGCCCCGGGCUCAACCUGGGAAUUGCAUUCGAGACUGAAUAGCUAGGGUACGGUAGAGGGAAGCGGAAUUCCGGGUGUAGCGGUGAAAUGCGUAGAUAUCUGGAGGAACACCGGUGGCGAAGGCGGCAUUCUGGACCGACAUUGACGCUGAGGAGCGAAAGCCAGGGGAGCAAACGGG
rnacentral:rRNA from 1 species